rnacentral:rRNA from 1 species
UACGAAGGGGGCUAGCGUUGCUCGGAUUGACUGGGCGUAAAGGGCGCGUAGGCGGUUCGUACAGUCAGACGUGAAAUUCCUGGGCUCAACCUGGGGGCUGCGUUUGAUACGUGCGGACUUGAGUGCGGAAGAGGGUCGUGGAAUUCCCAGUGUAGAGGUGAAAUUCGUAGAUAUUGGGAAGAACACCGGUGGCGAAGGCGGCCAUCUGGACCGAUACUGACGCUGAGGCGCGAAAGCGUGGGGAGCAAACAGG